rnacentral:pre_miRNA from 1 species
AAAGUACUCCCUCCGUUUAGAAUUACUUGUCGUAGAAAUGGAUGUAUCUAGAUGUAUUUUAGUUCUAGAUACAUCCAUUUUCGAGACAAGUAAUUCCGAACGGAGGGAGUACAAC